UAUGAAGAACGUAGUGAAAUGCGAUAAGUAAUGUGAAUUGCAGAAUUCAGUGAAUCAUCGAAUCUUUGAACGCACAUUGCGCCCGGUAGUAUUCUGCCGGGCAUGCCUGUUCGAGCGUCAUUUCAACCAUCAAGCCCCAGCGCUUGUGUUGGGGGCCUGCGGCUGCCGCAGCCCCCUAAAAGCAGUGGCGGGCUCGCUAUCACACCGAGUGCAGUAGUUCAUCUUCUCUCCGGUCUUGUGAGGCGGGUUCCGGCCGUGAAACACCCCACUACAUUCAAGGUUGACCUCGGAUCAGGUAGGAAUACCCGCUGAACUUAAGCAUAUCAAUAAGCGGAGGA
rnacentral:misc_RNA from 1 species